ACGCUGGCGGCGUGCCUAAUACAUGCAAGUAGAACGCUGAAAGAGGAGCUUGCUCUUCUUGGAUGAGUUGCGAACGGGUGAGUAACGCGUAGGUAACCUGCCUUGUAGCGGGGGAUAACUAUUGGAAACGAUAGCUAAUACCGCAUAACAAUGGAUGACACAUGUCAUUUAUUUGAAAGGGGCAAUUGCUCCACUACAAGAUGGACCUGCGUUGUAUUAGCUAGUAGGUGAGGUAACGGCUCACCUAGGCGACGAUACAUAGCCGACCUGAGAGGGUGAUCGGCCACACUGGGACUGAGACACGGCCCAGACUCCUACGGGAGGCAGCAGUAGGGAAUCUUCGGCAAUGGGGGCAACCCUGACCGAGCAACGCCGCGUGAGUGAAGAAGGUUUUCGGAUCGUAAAGCUCUGUUGUAAGUCAAGAACGAGUGUGAGAGUGGAAAGUUCACACUGUGACGGUAGCUUACCAGAAAGGGACGGCUAACUACGUGCCAGCAGCCGCGGUAAUACGUAGGUCCCGAGCGUUGUCCGGAUUUAUUGGGCGUAAAGCGAGCGCAGGCGGUUUGAUAAGUCUGAAGUUAAAGGCUGUGGCUCAACCAUAGUUCGCUUUGGAAACUGUCAAACUUGAGUGCAGAAGGGGAGAGUGGAAUUCCAUGUGUAGCGGUGAAAUGCGUAGAUAUAUGGAGGAACACCGGUGGCGAAAGCGGCUCUCUGGUCUGUAACUGACGCUGAGGCUCGAAAGCGUGGGGAGCGAACAGGAUUAGAUACCCUGGUAGUCCACGCCGUAAACGAUGAGUGCUAGGUGUUGGAUCCUUUCCGGGAUUCAGUGCCGCAGCUAACGCAUUAAGCACUCCGCCUGGGGAGUACGACCGCAAGGUUGAAACUCAAAGGAAUUGACGGGGGCCCGCACAAGCGGUGG
rnacentral:rRNA from 1 species